GAGAAAAAAUCCUACAUGGUAUAUACUGCUGUAGGUUGUCUGGGAGUUUCUGCGUUAAGUGAUCUGGUGAAAGAGGUGGAUGCAAUUCAGUCCUGUGGAGGACAGAUGACUGCUGAUGGCAGACGCUUUCGAACAGGAGGUGGAAUAUUAUGGAACAUAAUGAAAACAAGAGAACCAAUGGCCUACAAAGAGAUAAUGAAAAAGGCUAAGGACUUUGAGAAGCAAUUUAAACGGCCAAAUAUUCGGCAAGCACCACAGCAAAAGGAGGGUUCUUCUCAAGAAACUGCAUUUUCAUUAACUGAUGAGGCUGCAUCCAGUGUUCCAGAUGGUUCUCAACUGGUACCUCAAAAUCAGCAUGAACAGUCCAAUGAUGAACAGAAGCGAAGAUCUGUUCAUGACAGAAU
rnacentral:misc_RNA from 1 species